GACGAACGCUGGCGGCGUGCUUAACACAUGCAAGUCGAACGGAAAGGCCCUGCUUUUGUGGGGUGCUCGAGUGGCGAACGGGUGAGUAACACGUGAGUAACCUGCCCUUGACUUUGGGAUAACUUCAGGAAACUGGGGCUAAUACCGGAUAGGAACUCCUGCUGCAUGGUGGGGGUUGGAAAGUUUCGGCGGUUGGGGAUGGACUCGCGGCUUAUCAGCUUGUUGGUGGGGUAGUGGCUUACCAAGGCUUUGACGGGUAGCCGGCCUGAGAGGUUGAACGGCCACAUUGGAACUGAGAUACGGCCCAGACUCCUACGGGAGGCAGCAGUGGGGAAUAUUGCACAAUGGGCGGAAGCCUGAUGCAGCAACGCCGCGUGCGGGAUGACGGCCUUCGGGUUGUAAACCACUUUCGCCUGUGACGAAGCGUGAGUGACGGUAAUGGGUAAAGAAGCACCGGCUAACUACGUG
rnacentral:rRNA from 1 species